AACUGAUACUACCUGCGGGAACCUGCGGAGGGAUCAUUACAGAGUUGCAAAACUCCAAACCAUUGUGAACUUACCUUUGCCGUUGCUUCGGCGGGCGGCCCGGGUCCCGACCCGGCGCCCCCCGGCCCCGUCAGGGGCGCCCGCCGGAGGUAAACCAAACUCUUGAAUUGUAUGGCCUCUCUGAGUCUUCUGUACUGAAUAAGUCAAAACUUUUAGCAAUGGAUCUCUAGAUCGGAAGAG
rnacentral:misc_RNA from 1 species